AAUAACGAGAGUAUUAUAUUUAUUUUGCGUUUGGUUUGGAAGACAAAAUCGGAGUCGGUUGAUGAUUGAAAAAAUAAAUAAAAAUCUGAGUCGGUGUAUUUUUUUAUUAAAAUUCAAAUGAAAGCAUUGUGUUGUGGCCAUGGCGAGUACGGAAGCUUCACGGACGUGCUCAAAUUGAAAUCAAAUGUAUCCAGUAGGUCUAUUUGAUCAACAGUCAGUUUACAAAGCAUGUCUUUGGCUAGCACUAGCUGUGGGAAAUUGGAGUUGUUGAAGAGCUUGGUGAUUACACCACCAGGGAGAACUUCAAAGGCCUAUCAGAAGAGAAAUUUGAUGUAGUAUUCGAUAUAGUUGGUAGGUUGUUUUACUUCUUGUUUCAGUGGCUGUUACUUCAGUAAUUUGGACCAAAUAUCAGCACAAAAAGGAGCCUGAAAACUUUUUGAUUCAGGGAAUUUAAUGGGAGGAAUGCGCUAUAUUUGAGGUGGAUAAAGAAAGGUUCAAAUUGUUUAUGAUAGAAUAUUUUGUUAACUCAGGGUUUCAAAGGCUAGACUACUCCAUCGGGUACACACAAUCAUCCUCAAAUCACGCGUGUCGGUAACCUUUGCAUACUUUUGGCAAAAGUAAAUGAGACUCUACACCUUAUCAAGAAGCUUGAUGGCAGGGGAGGGGGUCCAGCAGAUUCUUGCUUUGAAGAUUCUCAAUUGCCAAUGCUAAAGUUUUUUUGGGUGAAUGCCAAUGCAAAAGUUAGUGUAGUAAUUGGAGAAUAUUUCACAGUGAUUCGUUUUGGUCCACCGUAUUUCACAGUGACUGCUAAUUGCACCUACAUGAUGCUUUUCCAUCACUCUCUACUCUCGAAUGUCAAACCAAAAGCCUUGGGAAUGUGCUUUCCACGGGAUGACAAACCUCCACAACCACAAGGUACUCUUCCUGAUUAUUUAGAGCCAUGAUCCUAAAGUGUGGUUGACACAGGGUACGUUUUCUAUUCGGUUAGGUUGGGUAUGAUAAUCUUCUGAAAAUUUGACAAAAAUUAAUAAAAAAUAAAAUUACAUAUUGCUGAUGUUUUAGGGAAACAUUGCGGAUACUUGAAAACUAUUGAAGAGAAACUUCAAGAAACUAUCAAUAAAUUCCUAUGGAAAACUACUUCAAAACUUAAUGGACUUUUUAUGAUUUUGUUUUGAAAUAUUUAUGACAAAUAUAAAAAUGUCUUAUCAAUUUUUUUGU